GUGUCAGAAGAGGUAGUGUUAUUUUUUGUUCCAUGCUAUCCGAGACGACCAGCGCGACAAUUGUAUGCUUUUCUGUAUUGGUCGAGACGAGGAGAGACGCAUCGGUUAUCGAAAAUUAAUUGCUUAUUCCAAAACAAUGGCUCGGGGCGACAGGCGUGAUCGAAACUGUGUAGAGGCCACUAACCAGAAACGACACGAAACAAAAAUGCACAGGACAACAUUCCAAUAGACUACUACUGACAGAGAGAUAAGCAAAAGAAGAAUAUUUAAAGACCGCGUGAAGGUAGUUUCAUAACCUGCAGGAGUAGAUGUGAAACACGGUGAGAGGUAGAGGUGAUGGACGCACUGCUUCGGAAGCAUAAACACAUAAUGGCUAUUGUUGCGAGCCGAUUUGAACCGACAGAUUUGGCGGCGUAACAGGAUUACACAUCUAAUUACUCCAGGAAGAAGAUAACAAAAGCAUUCGUCCUUUUGUUUACGCUUGCUUUUCCAACGCGUUACCCAAAAACAUUAGAAAAUUGGAG